UACGGAGGGUGCAAGCGUUAUCCGGAAUUAUUGGGCGUAAAGCGUCUGUAGGUGGCAAUGUAAGUCUGCUGUCAAAGCGUCUGGCUCAACCAGAUAAAGGCAGUGGAAACUACAUAGCUAGAGUAAGGUAGGGGUAGAGGGAAUUCCUGGUGUAGCGGUGAAAUGCGUAGAGAUCAGGAAGAACACCGGUGGCGAAAGCGCUCUGCUGGACCGUAACUGACACUGAGGGACGAAAGCUAGGGGAGCGAAUGGG
rnacentral:rRNA from 1 species